AGGAGGAUACCACACCCCCGUCGUGAAGCCGUGCAUAGAGCCGCUCAGCUCAAGCCGUGAGCCGCACUGUGGGCUUCAGAGCCUCGAAGCGUCGCCUCGUCCCGAGAGGAGGCGAAAUCUCAUCCCGAUUCGACCCCUGCGCCCACGCCCACGCCCACGCGAUUUUUCCCGUUGGAGCUAGCUGCACCAUUCCGCUGUCGCCUCCCGCCAAACAUUUCCGCUAGGGUUGUGCUUGGAGUCUGCUCGAGGACGACGCCAACCCCAUUCGGAGAGAGGAGCCGCCGCCGCCGUCGGUGAGUUCGCCGCCGCCGUCGGUGAGUUCGCCGUCGCUAGCACGGCAAGGGAGACAAUCCCCGGCCGUCUCAGACUCCGGAUUCCGUCCGCCAACCACCACAAGAG
rnacentral:lncRNA from 1 species